GAUGAACGCUGGCGGCGUGCCUAACACAUGCAAGUCGAACGGACAGGCCCUGAGCUUGGGCGAUGCUCGAGGGGCGAACGGGGGAGUAACACGUGAGUAACCUGCCCCUGAGGUAGUGAUAACUACAGGAAAAUGGGGCUAAUACCGGAUAGGAGCUCCUGCUCCAUGGUGGGGGUUGGAAAGUUUCGGCGGUUGGGGAUGGACUCGCGGCUUAUCAGCUUGUUGGUGGGGUAGUGGCUUACCAAGGCUUUGACGGGUAGCCGGCCUGAGAGGGUGACCGGCCACAUUGGGCCUGAGAUACGGCCCAGCAUCCCACCUGACGCAGCCGUCGCGACUCUCGCCCAAUCGAGGGAAGCCUGAUGCAGCAGUGCCACGUUCGGAAAAACAGCAUACGCGUUGUAAACCGCUUCGGCUGGUCCGAGAACGGGCCUGACGGUCAUGGGUAAAGAAGCACCGGCUAACUACGUG
rnacentral:rRNA from 1 species